GAUCUGAGCGUGUAAACAUGCAUAGCGUAUGAUUAUAGAAAUAUACACGUGUUGCAAUUUAAGAAAAAUUUUCUAAAAAUAGUUUCAAUAAUUAUAAAUAAUAAUAUAUCUGUAAUAGAAAAUCUGAUAAAAAAGAAGAAAAAUUAUCAUGUUUUUAUUACGCCAAAUACUUCAACGCGGAAUGCAACUGGCUCUCACGAGAGAACCUAUAAAUUUACGUCAGAUUCCAUCAAUUUUAAAAGCAAAAUUUACUGUUAAUCUACACGACCGAAUUUUUAUUCGGAUGAAGACGAAUCUUAGUGAAAUAGAGGAAGAGAACAAGGAAGAAGAUUCUACAAAACACAUUCUUGGCAAGAUCUGUGGGAAAUUGAAAGUGAUGUUUACAUGUAAAAAGUGUAAUUAUCGGAAUGGGAAAAUUAUAUCGAAAUUAGCGUACGAAAAGGGAGUGGUUAUAAUUCGCUGCGAUUGCUGUAAAAACAAUCAUUUAAUUGCCGACAAUCUCGGAUGGUUCGAAGAAUUAAAAAACAAGGGAAAUAUUGAAAAACUUAUGGAGCAAAAAGGAGAGACUGUUCGAAAAAUUCAAAAUGAUGUUGAAGGAUAUAUUGAGGCUAUUGCCAAAGAGGAAUUUGAGUUGAUUCGACACAAUAAAGAAAGAGAACAACGUUUAAUUGAAGAACAAAAUAAAACACAGGAUCAAAAUAAAAAGAUUAAAUCUACGGAAGAAUCGUAGAAAAAAUUGUCUAGGUUAGGUUUUUAUUAAUUUUUAUUUUUAUGAAAUAGCGAUGAAAAAAUAUUUCAACGAAUGUAAAUACCACUAAUUGUAGACUAUGUAUCUUUUUAUUUUAUGUAUUCUUUAUGCUAUGUUAAACUUAUAAUUAUGUAAUCAUAUGUAGAAAAAGAAUAUCUGAAGUUUGGUUGAUAUAGAAAGACUUAAAUAUUUUUUGAUCUUUUAUGUUACAAACGUUAGAAAAAACAGUACCGUGCGUAUGUAUACUGUGUAAAUGACAGAUCUUGGCACAUGCAGAACUAUAUAUGGCAAGUUUUUAAUUGAGAAUAUAUCAAAUAUCAAUUAUGUACAUAUAUAUAAUAUAUUUUGUUAUAAAAAUGUCUUUUUUAAAAAUAUGUGGAAUAAUUAAAU